rnacentral:rRNA from 1 species
ACUCAAAUGAAUUGACGGGGGCCCGCACAAGCAGCGGAGCGUGUGGUUUAAUUCGACGCAACGCGAAGCACCUCACCCAGAUUUGACAUGACCCUGCACACCAGUGAAAGCUGGCUCCUUCGAGGGUGGGUCACAGAUGCUGCAUGGCUGUCGUCAGCUCGUGUCGUGAGAUGUUGGGUUCAGUCCCGCAACGAGCGCAACCCCUACCCUGAGUUACCAGUGUCUCGGGGAACAGCCGCCCGCGAGGGCGGAGGAAGGCGGGGAUGACGUCAAGUCCGCAUGGCUCUUACGUCUGGGGCGACACACACGCUACAAUGCGUCGCGCAAUGCGUUGCAACUCGGUAACGGGAAGCUAAUCGUCAAGGCGACGCUCAGUGCAGAUCGGGGGCUGCAACUCGCCCCCGUGAAGGCGGAGUUGCUAGUAACCGCGUAUCAGCCACGGCGCGGUGAAUACGUACCCGGGCCUUGUACACACCGCCCGU